UACGUAGGGUGCAAGCGUUAAUCGGAAUUACUGGGCGUAAAGCGUGCGCAGGCGGUUAUGCAAGACAGAGGUGAAAUCCCCGGGCUCAGCCUGGGAACUGCCUUUGUGACUGCAUAGCUAGAGUGCGGCAGAGGGGGAUGGAAUUCCGCGUGUAGCAGUGAAAUGCGUAGAUAUGCGGAGGAACACCGAUGGCGAAGGCAAUCCCCUGGGCCUGCACUGACGCUCAUGCACGAAAGCGUGGGGAGCAAACAGG
rnacentral:rRNA from 1 species